UUUUGUUUGUUUAUUGUUGUUUGCUUAGUACUGCUUAAUAAUAAUUCAAAGAAGCAGUUUUUGGAGACUGUUAAUUAAUUCUCUGAAAAUUAAGCACACAGACACUGUAACUACCUCUCUUUUCCCCAUGACAUCUAUCAUCAUUAUUAAAUGACUCUAGAAACACCACAGUCAUUGGAAAUCCUGUUGAGAUUUAACAAGUGGCCAUAUGCUACUCUCGAUUAGAGGAAGCAGAGGGGAGCAAGAUGCACCUGAAAACCUGUCAAAUGUAGGCAGAGCUGAGAGUUUACUACAUUCCCACUUGGGUAUCCCAGGACAUAUUUUUGCAAGGGGAAAGCUCAUUAGCUUCAAGAUAGCAAGUAGUACCCUGAAAACUUGGGAUACAAGGCAUGUUUUCCAUCAGGGAAGUAUAUGUUAUUGGCGCUCAGCCUCUUAAUACUUCCUACUAUUCUCCCUGAAAAUCUCCACAGGUCCAGAACAGAGCAAUUCUAUUUAUCUCAUUGUGUGUAAUUUUUUUUUGCUAGAAAAAAGAAGGUGCAGCAACACACAGUUGUUUUGGCUCCUCUAUCCCUGGUUUGCUGUCAGUGUGAUGAGAGUGCAAGAAUCCUCCUUAAAGGUUCUAAAAUGGACUCAGUAUGAUGGAUGGAAAGCACCUUCAUCUGAUGAUGCUGAAGGAGACUGUGGAUUCCAGCUGCAAGCCAAUCCUGUGGUUUGCAGUUCAGCGAGAAUUUGGUUCACAUGCCACAUUCAGCGGCCAAGAGAACUAAAACAGACAUUUUUUCCCCUGAUUCAUAACUUCUUGAUUCUCUGAGUGGAUACCAUCCCCUGUGUUAGAAGGUCUGUUUGCAUGACCUAAGAAAAAUCCAGAAAAAAAAAAAAAAAAAAAACGAAACACAAAACAACAGUGACAUCAUGAAGAGGUAUUUCAUUUUGUCAUAAAAUCCACUGAAAGCUGGGAUUUCUUUUCAAGUAUUUACAAGAGACUAUGAAUCCUUCACCUCUCUGGUGCAUAAUUUGUGUUCCAGUCUCUGAGUUCUUCUAAGUAAGAGAUACCUCUGUUCUGUACAUCCUAUAUCUGCAGUCACUUGCAGGAACUUAUUAACCAGCUAUGCAGUAGAGCUUGCAAUGUAUUUUCUUUCUGUACUGUGGAAGCCAUCAGUUUUCAAACUCCUGUAAGACCAGAAGAGCACUCACUGUGGCAGCAUAAAACACAAAGGUCUGGACUGCCUACUCUGGGAGAUCAGUGCCUUCCAUUUCUGUCAGGAUUUCUUUCCAGGGCUGAGGUGUCACCUCUGAAUUAAGUUCACAAAGGACAAACCAAUUCUGAACAUACUUCUAUAAAUCCUCGUGGGACACAGUAUGGGGGCCCUUCCAGGAUGUGACCUUUAGAUAUUGACAGAGGAGGUGUAUAUGCGUGUAUUCUCAUAUGAUGGCAGCAGAGGGGCAGACUGACGGAAUCCAUCGGAAGCAAGGGUGUGCCACUGAAUUCCUCCAUGCAAGAAAAAAUGCCACCCAUUGACACUGAUCAAUGCUUGCUGAAUGUUUCUGAAGACCAACCUGUGGGUGUGAGCACAAUGAGGUGGAUUCCACUGACCUAACCAGUGUUGUUCAGCUCCAUUAAUGCUUUUUGAUUUGGAAGCACAAAUGAUUUCAGCAUCAGCCUGUGGUGGUGGUAUGUUCAACGAGAUAAGUAUUAAACAAGGAACCACUGAAAAACAGUAAAUUUAAAACCAUCAAAAAGCUUCAAGAUUCUUCUUGGAUGAGAUCCUUGUUAUCUUGGAUGUGUAAAUCCUACUGCAACUCAGUGACAGUCAAACUUACUUGUUCGCACCUUCUUUAAAGCUAUGGAAAACUUUGCUUGCUACAGAAAUUACGAAGUUAAAUAUACCUUCAGAUUUCUGUGGAUAUAAACCAUUUCUCCCUGAAUUUUGUUGGCCAGAUUGAAUUUCUCUUUUUUUUUAGGGAAAUAUGCAUCAUUUGGUAUUAACUUAUUAGGUGGUGGUACUUGGUAAGUAAAUGUAUUUUUAAAAUUUUACAGAAUAUUUCUUUCAAAAUAGCUGUAAGAUAUUGAAAUAACUAUUUUAUAACACCUCCUAUCAUGAUUGAAUGGAACAAAAUAAUGUCUGAUAUUGUCUAUCUGAGUAACUUCAUCCUUCUUCCAAAUUUGCUGAAUGAUCAUUUACUGUUUCCCAUUUCAGAUGAUCGAACAUUUCAUUGAUGAAGCUCAUAAAAAACUUAUUCAAAACCAUACUGAAAUUCAAUGACAUAUCUGAAAAUUAAAUGUUUUUUGUGCACGGACCAACCAUAGGUUAUAUCAGCAAGAUCCUUAUGUGAUCAAUUAGUGCUCCAAAGACAAACCUCUCUCCAGGAGUAAAAUAUGAGCCCCAGUCCUGGAGGGGAUUAACCCUCAGUUCGAGAAUAGUUAUUCAUUCCUGUAAUUGAAUACAAAAGACAUAGGGAUUGAUUUUCACCUAUACCCAAAUUCAUGGCUCCUGGGAGGGUAUGAGCUGCUGACAAAUAAUUUCAGCUUCAGCCAUUGAUUAUGCUUCUAUAGUGAACAUUACAUAUACAGUAAGGUUGAUAUAAUAUAUAUUGCUGGAGUAAUAUAAUAUAAGUACUCCCCAUUUCUUAACCUAUCUUUCACUACCCUUAAGCUGUGCCGUGCACAGGAGAUGUAGAAUUCGGCUUCCUAGGAAGGAAAUGGCCAUGAAGCAGAAAAAUGAAUUCACCCUCAUUGUAUUGUAGUGAUGUGGUGAAGAUAAUCACUGCAGCUUUAUUCCAUUUAUUUUGAAAGAGAAAGCCUUUGCCUUUUCAAACUGCCUUGACCAUAUCACCACUCAUCUAUUUGCAAUGAAAAUCUGACAUCAGAGUACAGAAUUAUAGCUGGAGAAAUUGUCUUCUCAUUUCAUAUUUACCUUGUUUCCUCUCCUGAGUCACUGGAAAUGCAGCGACCUAGGUCCGUGCUUUUACACUUUUUUUUACUAUAUAUACACACGUAGAUAAAAAAAUUAGUGUGUGUGUACUGCCAAACUCUUCAGCUCACUACUCAUCUUCCCAGGUGUCUUCACACACCGUAAUUUCUGGUGUUUAAAAUUGGUAGACUGCAAAAAGUAGCACUCCUGCGUUCCCUCUCAUUCAUAUUGUGAAUAUUCAGUUCUCCAAGAAUUUUGCUGCUGGUGUCUGACCAGCCAAGCCCAUAUCAGAAUCGGCCACAGUCUAAUCAUAGUUUUUACCAAUUAAAACUUGUGUGCUAUAAUUUGUUUUUGUUUGUUUGUUUGUUUGUUUUGAUAACCUAAAGCAUAUUCUACUGUUUGCUGUUAAAAUAAAAUCCUUUCUGUUUACCUCCUCAUGGCUCACUGAAAAAAAUAUAUGCUUACAAUUGCAGCUUUCAAAAUGUUUUUUAUUUCUUCAGAUUUCUACUACAAAGCUUCAAUGUAAUCAAUAAUUCUAACUAGCUAUCUGACAGAGUACUUAACUUUAUUUUUCCUAAUAAAAACAAAUAGUUGGAGAAGAAUGUGUCCAAAGCCAUUUUUUUCCAUUCCUUUCUCAUGGCUUGCCUCUUGUCUUCUGUAUAAGGAAUUUUAGCAUUUCAAAUUUUAAGCUGAAGAUAAAUCCUUCUUUUUGAAGAAGUGUUUCUCACCAAGAGAGCCUUUUUUUUUUUUAAAGUAAGGAUAGCAAAUCCAGCCUGAUAGAACAAACACCUGAAGACAUUUUCUGUACAAUAAUAUCUCUUUAACAGAAUUAAAAUUCUAGAGAUUUAAUUCUUUGCAGACUUAACUCAACUGAAGGAAUAAGAAAUGCUGUGAUAAAACAAUAUGAUUACUUCAGUCUCCAUGUAGUAUAAAGUACGAUUCUACAGGAUUUCUUCAGUAGCCCAUGUCCAUAGUGAUCUUAAUUUUUGCUUUGUCAGAAGAGCUCUAUGAUAGGUUAAUUCUUCAGAAAUACUUAUCGUCCAUUACAUCAGAUUUCAUUUAUUUCUCCACUAUGAAAUGCAAUUUUUGGAAUUAUUAUUCUUUUUAUUAUUGUUGCUAUUACAGAACUUCCAGUGUUGGACAAAUUUACUGCUGGUACCUUCCUGUUUUCAUCCCUUUUCUUCCAAAUCCAGUGCCUAACCAAUUGAUUGUUUACUUGGAUAAACAAUUUGUUUUCCCUAAUGAAAAAAGAUAAGACUUCAUUGCCUAUUUUGUGUGGAACUGGGGCUCCUCUAGCUUCUGCAUUUUUUCCUAUUACAUCAUAAGUCCUACUUCUAGACAGAAAUAAGAAUGAGAGAUUGCAGCCUGUAGAGCUGCUACUUAUAUAGCUGCUAGAGUUACUAUCUUAGCAUGCUCAAACAUAUUCCUUAUCUGCUUCUUUUUCACUGUUCUUUUCUGAUUAAUGGUGGAUUUCCUGAUAUGUUAGGAUAUUACUGUCCUAUCUGCAGAAAUAUUGUCUCUCAUUUGGAGGAUGGUGGGAUUUUUUUCAACUUAAAUUUUUACUUUGUGCAUUGUAAUACUAAUUUCAGUUCCUAAUUUUCCAGUAAGGCAAUUAGGACACUAAAAUUUCCCAAUCACGGAAAAAGUAAUUAGUUACUAGAAGAUAAGGAUGUGCAAAUUUGAACAAAUUUGUAUGUAUUUAUGGAUAUAAGAGUUGGCUUGCAUGUGUAACUUAGAAUUUUACAUAAAUGACAUAAACUCAUUUAAAUAUAUAAAAGUAAAAAUCCAGUACUUUUUCUAUUCAUCUUCUGUGGAAUUUAAUAGCUUUUUUUAAAAGGCAUGCAUUUUCAUGAAUUGAUGUUGGUAUAUAAGCAAGAUUAUGUAUUUUCUUCAUUAACUUUUACAAAGUAGAUAUGUAGGUGGAACUAAACAUUCAAAAGCUAAGCAAAGUUUGUGUUGUUUACAUAAAAGUAUUGGUAGAUUACAUCUACCCACAAAAAAAAAAAAAAGUCAUGUAUUUUUGUUUUCAGAUAAAAAUGCACAUCUCAAAGACUUUCUUCUCUACAACUCAAACUUUCCAAAGGUUUUGAGUCAAAUUAUAUCUGAGUGUUCACUUAAAAAAAGGAAAAAACAAAACAAACAAACAAAUAAAAAAAAAUCAGAACACGGAGUUCUGUAGAAGUUAGGUAUGGUAGUUAAAAACCUUUCUGUGAAUGGCCAAAAAUACCCAAACGUUGGACUUGCUGGAACAGGAUAUGUGUUGUAAAGGAAAGCUGACAACAGAUGUUCAUAUUGUUGAAUGCUUUUGACUCAGAUCAUCAUUGGGUUUCAAGCUGUUAAUGGUGAAAGAGGUAAGAUCUCCAAGACAAGAUCUCAAAGAAAGAAGAAACUGAUCAGAGUACUUAGAUCUGAUUAUUUCAACUCACCUGACUAGCAGAGUCUUGGAGUAAAUCUGCUGAUCUGAGUGGGAUAAUCAUCUUGACAUUGGCAUUGCCUUGCCAGUGGAAGCAAAGGGUUUUCAAACCAUGGAUGAGACAAUAGAAUUCCUCUCAUCAGUAGCAUGUUGAGGUGCCAUGAUAAGACAUUGACACAGAUGGUACACAGCAAAGCAAGGUGGAAGACUUCAGGGAACCAUCCAAGUCUUAUCCAGUGAUCCUCUUAUCUUUUCAAUACUAUGGACCAAGAAGCAAUGAUGCUUUAUGUUAAAAAAAAUAAUAAUAAAACAAAAAAGAGCAAUCUCAGGACAAGAAGUUACUACAGACAUAUAACCCUCAUUUCUAAAGGCAAAUCUGCCUUGCUUUCAUUUUUCAAAAGAAAAGGGCAAGUCUGUUUACUUCAUUCUCAUCAGAAGUGCUGACCCUUGUUCUGCUAAUCAGGAUAGAGCCUGCAUUGAUUCCACCUGGAAAAUAACAUAGCUGAAAAUCAGAUGGUUUACACUCACACCAAAAUAUAUAGCAAUAAUGAAGUUGGAAGAGCAAGGCUCAGCCUCAAGCUUGAUCUGACUCAUACCAUGAAAUCAUCAGGUUUUUUAAGCUCAGGAGGGUUACAGUUCUUCAUUAUCUGAAUGGAAGACUUCACAAAAAGCCUCAGGAGCUGAAGGAGCAAUGGAGAUACUUCAGCUUGAAAUCAAUACACUGGUGUGCUGCUCAGUUCCUUGGAUCACUUUGUCACUUGGAGGUGAGUACCAGCAGGGUUUGAAUGCUUACUGCCAUUACAAAACCUGCAGCAAGAGCAUCCCUGCAUCCUGUCGGUGCUCAGCUGACCUAUUAGAGAAGAUUACUGGAACUAAAUACCUUACUGAAGAAAGUGACAAAGCUAUUGAACCUAUGUCUGCCCACCCUUGGUCACAUCAAGCUCUGCUUGCCACAGUACAAGGGGACCCCUCUGCUAGCUCAGCUGCUGGAAAGAGUGGGGUCAUGAAGGCUGCCAUGUGAUGCUUUCCUAGUAUUGUUCCAGCCUGUGAGUUGGAGGUGGACAUCCUAAGCUUAAGGCGGACUUGGAGUUGC
rnacentral:lncRNA from 1 species